GGGAAUAGCUCAGUGGUAGAGUGUGUGCUUAGCAUGCACAAGAUUCUGGGUUCAAUCCCCCAUACCGCCG
rnacentral:tRNA from 1 species